rnacentral:tRNA from 1 species
UGCCGGAUGGUGAAAUUGGCAUCACACCUGACUCUGGAUCAGGUUUUCUAGGUUCGAGUCCUAGUCCGGCAGCCA